rnacentral:tRNA from 1 species
GUUGUGUUAGCAAAAAGUGCAGUUGACUUAGAAUCAAAAGAUGUGUUCGGGACAACACACACAACA